rnacentral:rRNA from 1 species
UACGUAGGGGGCGAGUGUUGUCCGGAUUUAUUGGGCGUAAAGAGCGUGUAGGCGGCCAGGUAGGUCCGUUGUGAAAACUCGAGGCUCAACCUCGAGACGUCGGCGGAAACCCUCUGGCUAGAGUCCGGAAGAGGAGAGUGGAAUUCCUGGUGUAGCGGUGAAAUGCGCAGAUAUCAGGAAGAACACCCGUGGCGAAGGCGGCUCUCUGGGACGGUACUGACGCUGAGACGCGAAAGCGUGGGGAGCAAACAGG